UUAGCAUUCCAAUAGAUUGUAAGAAGCCUU
rnacentral:piRNA from 1 species